rnacentral:rRNA from 1 species
CUAAGAAUCUUCCGCAAUGGGCGAAAGCCUGACGGAGCGAUGCCGCGUGAUCGAUGAAGGUCGAGAGAUUGUAAAGAUCUUUUCCAACUGAGGAAUAAGGGUAGGAGGGAAUGCCUGCCUGAUGACGUUAAGUUGGGAAUAAGCCCCGGCUAAUUACGUGCCAGCAGCCGCGGUAACACGUAAGGGGCGAGCGUUGUUCGGAAUUAUUGGGCGUAAAGGGCACGCAGGCGGUUUUGCAAGUCUGAUGUUAAAGACCCGGGCUUAACUCGGGGGAUGCGUUGGAAACUGCAAGACUAGAAUCUUGGAGGGGGAGUCGGAAUUCCUAGUGUAGGGGUGAAAUCUGUUGAUAUUAGGAAGAACACCGGUGGCGAAGGCGGACUCCUGGCCGAAGAUUGACGCUGAGGUGCGAAAGCAUAGGGAGCAAACA